rnacentral:rRNA from 1 species
CGCCUUUUGUUAAUAAUAAAAGGUCUAGCCUGCCCAGUGAUAAAUUUAACGGCCGCGGUACCCUAACCGUGCGAAGGUAGCAUAAUCACUUGUUCUUUAAAUAGGGACUUGUAUCAACGGCAUCACGAGAGCUGCACUGUCUCCCCCCUCCAAUCAGUGAAACUGAUCUCCCCGUGAAAAAGCGGGGAUAAAAUUAUAAGACGAGAAGACCCCAUGGAGCUUUAAACCCUAUAGCAAUUUAGCAAAGCUACAUAGCCCUGCUAGCGGUUUUAGGUUGGGGCGACCACGGAGUAAAAACUAACCUCCAUAACGAAAAGACUAAAUCUUAACCCAAAAAUUACUAUUUAAAGUAUUAGAAUACUAACGAACUAUGACCCAAUAUUGAUCAAUGAACCAAGUUACCCUGGGGAUAACAGCGCAAUCUACUUCAAGAGUCCAUAUCGACAAGUAGGCUUACGACCUCGAUGUUGGAUCAGGGUAUCCCAGUGGUGCAGCCGCUACUGAAGGUUCGUUUGUUCAACGAUUAAAACCCU